rnacentral:rRNA from 1 species
GACGAACGCUGGCGGCGUGCUUAACACAUGCAAGUCGAACGGAAAGGCCCUGCUCUUGUGGGGUGCUCGGGUGGCGAACGGGUGAGUAACACGAGAGUAACCUGCCCUUGACUUUGGGAUAACUUCAGGGAACUGGGGCUAAUACCGGAUAGGAGCUCCUGCUGCAUGGUGGGGGUUGGAAAGUUUCGGCGGUUGGGGAUGGACUCGCGGCUUAUCAGCCUGUUGGUGGGGUAGUGGCUUACCAAGGCUUUGACGGGUAGCCGGCCUGAGAGGGUGACCGGCCACAUUGGGACUGAGAUACGGCGCAGACGCCUACGGGAGGCAGCAGUGGGGAAUAGUGUACAAUGGGCGGAAGCCGGAUGCAGCAACGCCGCGUGCGGGAUGACGGCCUUCGGGUUGUAAACCGCUUUCGCCUGUGACGAAGCGUGAGUGACGGUAAUGGGUAAAGAAGCACCGGCUAACUACGUG